GGAGAGUUUGAUCCUGGCUCAGGACGAACGCUGGCGGCGUGCCUAAUACAUGCAAGUCGAGCGGGCCAUUCCUUCGGGGAUGGUUAGCGGCGGACGGGUGAGUAACACGUAGGCAACCUGCCUGUAAGAUCGGGAUAACUACCGGAAACGGUAGCUAAGACCGGAUAGCUGGUUUCUCCGCAUGGGGGAAUCAUGAAACACGGGGCAACCUGUGGCUUACGGAUGGGCCUGCGGCGCAUUAGCUAGUUGGUGGGGUAAUGGCCCACCAAGGCGACGAUGCGUAGCCGACCUGAGAGGGUGAUCGGCCACACUGGGACUGAGACACGGCCCAGACUCCUA
rnacentral:rRNA from 1 species